UAGUGUUGGGAUCCUGGCUCAGGACGAACGCUGGCGGCGUGCCUAAUACAUGCAAGUCGAACGAACUCUGGUAUUGAUUGGUGCUUGCAUCAUGAUUUACAUUUGAGUGAGUGGCGAACUGGUGAGUAACACGUGGGAAACCUGCCCAGAAGCGGGGGAUAACACCUGGAAACAGAUGCUAAUACCGCAUAACAACUUGGACCGCAUGGUCCGAGCUUGAAAGAUGGCUUCGGCUAUCACUUUUGGAUGGUCCCGCGGCGUAUUAGCUAGAUGGUGGGGUAACGGCUCACCAUGGCAAUGAUACGUAGCCGACCUGAGAGGGUAAUCGGCCACAUUGGGACUGAGACACGGCCCAAACUCCUACGGGAGGCAGCAGUAGGGAAUCUUCCACAAUGGACGAAAGUCUGAUGGAGCAACGCCGCGUGAGUGAAGAAGGGUUUCGGCUCGUAAAACUCUGUUGUUAAAGAAGAACAUAUCUGAGAGUAACUGUUCAGGUAUUGACGGUAUUUAACCAGAAAGCCACGGCUAACUACGUGCCAGCAGCCGCGGUAAUACGUAGGUGGCAAGCGUUGUCCGGAUUUAUUGGGCGUAAAGCGAGCGCAGGCGGUUUUUUAAGUCUGAUGUGAAAGCCUUCGGCUCAACCGAAGAAGUGCAUCGGAAACUGGGAAACUUGAGUGCAGAAGAGGACAGUGGAACUCCAUGUGUAGCGGUGAAAUGCGUAGAUAUAUGGAAGAACACCAGUGGCGAAGGCGGCUGUCUGGUCUGUAACUGACGCUGAGGCUCGAAAGUAUGGGUAGCAAACAGGAUUAGAUACCCUGGUAGUCCAUACCGUAAACGAUGAAUGCUAAGUGUUGGAGGGUUUCCGCCCUUCAGUGCUGCAGCUAACGCAUUAAGCAUUCCGCCUGGGGAGUACGGCCGCAAGGCUGAAACUCAAAGGAAUUGACGGGGGCCCGCACAAGCGGUGGAGCAUGUGGUUUAAUUCGAAGCUACGCGAAGAACCUUACCAGGUCUUGACAUACUAUGCAAAUCUAAGAGAUUAGACGUUCCCUUCGGGGACAUGGAUACAGGUGGUGCAUGGUUGUCGUCAGCUCGUGUCGUGAGAUGUUGGGUUAAGUCCCGCAACGAGCGCAACCCUUAUUAUCAGUUGCCAGCAUUAAGUUGGGCACUCUGGUGAGACUGCCGGUGACAAACCGGAGGAAGGUGGGGAUGACGUCAAAUCAUCAUGCCCCUUAUGACCUGGGCUACACACGUGCUACAAUGGAUGGUACAACGAGUUGCGAACUCGCGAGAGUAAGCUAAUCUCUUAAAGCCAUUCUCAGUUCGGAUUGUAGGCUGCAACUCGCCUACAUGAAGUCGGAAUCGCUAGUAAUCGCGGAUCAGCAUGCCGCGGUGAAUACGUUCCCGGGCCUUGUACACACCGCCCGUCACACCAUGAGAGUUUGUAACACCCAAAGUCGGUGGGGUAACCUUUUAGGAACCAGCCGCC
rnacentral:rRNA from 2 species